rnacentral:rRNA from 1 species
GACGAACGCUGGCGGCGUGCCUAAUACAUGCAAGUAGAACGCACAGUUUAUACCGUAGCUUGCUACACCAUAGACUGUGAGUUGCGAACGGGUGAGUAACGCGUAGGUAACCUGCCUGGUAGCGGGGGGUAACUAUUGGAAACGAUAGCUAAUACCGCAUAAUAUUAAUUAUUGCAUGAUAAUUAAUUGAAAGGUGCAAUUGCACCACUACCAGAUGGACCUGCGUUGUAUUAGCUAGUAGGUGAGGUAACGGCUCACCUAGGCGACGAUACAUAGCCGACCUGAGAGGGUGAUCGGCCACACUGGGACUGGGACACGGCCCAGACUCCUACGGGAGGCAGCAGUAGGGAAUCUUCGGCAAUGGACGAAAGUCUGACCGAGCAACGCCGCGUGAGUGAAGAAGGUUUUCGGAUCGUAAAGCUCUGUUGUAAGAGAAGAACGGGUGUGAGAGUGGAAAGUUCACACUGUGACGGUAUCUUACCAGAAAGGGACGGCUAACUACGUG